rnacentral:rRNA from 1 species
AGUGAACGCUGGCGGUAGGCCUAACACAUGCAAGUCGAACGGCAGCACAGUAAGAGCUUGCUCUUACGGGUGACGAGUGGCGGACGGGUGAGGAAUACAGCGGAAUCUACUUUUUCGUGGGGGAUAACGUAGGGAAACUUACGCUAAUACCGCAUACGACCUACGGGUGAAAGCAGGAGAUCUUCGGACCUUGCGCGGUUGAAUGAGCCGAUGUCGGAUUAGCUAGUUGGCGGGGUAAAGGCCCACCAAGGCGACGAUCCGUAGCUGGUGUGAGAGGAUGAAGCGCCACACUGGAACUGAGCCACGGUCCAGACACCUACGGGAGGCAGCAGUGGGGACUAUUGGACAAUGGGCGCAAGCCUGAUCCAGCCAUACCGCGUGGGUGAAGAAGGCCUUCGGGUUGUAAAGCCCUUUUGUUGGGAAAGAAAAGCAGCAGGUUAAUACCCCGCUGUUCUGACGGUACCCAAAGAAUAAGCACCGGCUAACUUCGUG